AAUAAUAUCAGAAAAUCUCUUGAUCAACUUAGAUACGAAAUCUUUAAAUUAAAAUUUCAUACACAUCAUGUAGUCUCCAAGAGAUAUAAUAAGAUCUAUUAUCUAGAUCUAAAGAUGAUGAUUAAAACUUCCAAUACGAUGAAUAUCCUACAAUCUCAAAAUCAAUUUCAUCAAUAAGAAAUAGGUUUCUUUGCAAUAUUCUCAAAUAUGCAUUCAUCCUAAUAUGCCACUUUAUAUAUAAUCCACAUACCAAAUUCAAUUUCGAUAAAUAUUCUAAUCAAGCA
rnacentral:lncRNA from 1 species